GGCUCCGUAGCUCAGUCGGUUAGAGCAUCGUGCUGAUAACGCGAGUGUCGAGGGACCGAUCCCCGCCGGAGCCA
rfam:Schistosoma mansoni strain Puerto Rico chromosome 3, complete genome